CAAGGUGGGGAUACCGGGUUUCGGCAUCCACUAAAGUUUUGCUAAUAUAAUAGAUAGGAUAUUGUGUACCUUUAUUUUUGCGCACCAGGACGGCGCUGACUGCAACUUCUGAUACGGCCAAAUAUACCAGUAGCGGCUCACCUGGGUUGGCUUUUACUAGCAGGGGAGGUGAUGAUAAGUAUGCUUUCAAGCUUUUCAGAGCUUCUACACACUCUAUGUUCCACUGCAGUCCCUUGUCUU
rnacentral:lncRNA from 1 species